UGGAACUGGGAUCAGGUAGAGAUACACGUCGAACUUAAGCAUAUCAAUAUGCGGAGGAAAAGAAGCCACCAGGGAUUGCGCUAGUAACGGCGAGUGAAGCGGCAACAGCUCAAAUUUGAAUUCUGGCGUCUUGGCGUCCGAGUGGUAAUUCGCAGAGGUCGCUUUGCCAUAGGCAGCGGUCCAAGUUCCUGGGAUCAGGACGUCGCAGAGGGUGCGAAUGCCGUACGUGGUCGCUAGCCUUUACCGUCUAAAGCCAAUUCGUCGAGGCGAGUUGUUUGGGAAGGCAGCUCUAAAUCGGACGAAAAUAUCUAAAAAAGGAAAGUACAAACCAGGGUCGGACAGGCAACAGCAGAGAAUUCCAAGGAGGAAAAGCUGCUUUCAAAGAGAGGAAGAAUCCACGAAAUCUGCAAUUCACACUAGUUAUCGCAUGGCGGACCCGCCGAGGAAACGAAGGUACUCAAAAGACAUGGGUAAGAGA
rnacentral:rRNA from 1 species